rnacentral:lncRNA from 1 species
UUUUUGCCAGCGGUUUCGUCAGAAGACGCAUCAGAAGUUCCCGGAACAGUAGGCCUCCGAAACUCAGUCUUGUACGGGAGAAGGGCGAUAAGGUUUUUGGGGAGAAGUUCCCGGGACAGUAGGCCUCCGAAACUCCGUCUCUUCAAGUCCUGUACGGGAGAAGGGCGAUAAGGUUUUUGGGGAGCGCUCAGCGCGACUACUGGCUUCCAUCACGGACACCGACGAUCUCUUCCCGGACGACGACUACUUCCCCGACGUUGGCCACCUCUUCGGUACCAUGGCCAACGACAACGCCAACACCAAUCCUCCUGCUGCUGCAACUCAGUACGUACU